CUCCGGUUUUCCCAAGUCCAAAGACAUAGGUGAAUUGGAUUGGUGUUCGCUGAUGGUCUGUUGAGAAUUCUGCUGAGUUGAAGGGAUCCUCCUGUCAGACAACCUCUCCAAAGUACAAUAGGACUAGGUUCCCACUACAAGGAUUAGAUUUGGCUACUGCAGUCCCGGUUUGGGCCAGCCUCACUUGUGAAGACUAAAGAUGAAGACAACAUACAAGAACAAUUUAGAGGAUGGCGACACACUUUUUAUUCCACCUAUAUAUCCCCUUUUAU